rnacentral:rRNA from 1 species
AAGUAAAAGUCGUAACAAGGUUUCCGUAGGUGAACCUGCGGAAGGAUCA